rnacentral:rRNA from 1 species
CCUACGGGUGGCAGCAGUGGGGAAUAUUGGGCAAUGGGCGCAAGCCUGACCCAGCAACGCCGCGUGAAGGAAGAAGGCCCUCGGGUUGUAAACUUCUUUUAACAGGGACGAAGAAAGUGACGGUACCUGUUGAAUAAGCCACGGCUAACUACGUGCCAGCAGCCGCGGUAAUACGUAGGUGGCAAGCGUUAUCCGGAUUUACUGGGUGUAAAGGGCGUGUAGGCGGGAGAGCAAGUCAGACGUGAAAUUCCAGGGCUCAACCCUGGAACUGCGUUUGAAACUGUUCUUCGUGAGGGGUGGAGGGGCAGGCGGAAUGCCGGGGGUGGGGGGGAAAGGCGUAGAUAUAGGGAGGAACACCAGUGGCGAGGGCGGCCUGCGGGACAUUAACGGAGGCUGGGGCGCGAAGGCGUGGGGGGCAAACAGGAUUAGAGACCCUUGUAGUC